GCCCAGACUCCUACGGGAGGCAGCAGUGAGGAAUAUUGGUCAAUGGUCGGGAGACUGAACCAGCCAAGCCGCGUGAAGGAAUAAGGCCCUACGGGUCGUAAACUUCUUUAGUCAGGGAACAAAGGGAGCCACGCGUGGCGCUGUGAGUGUACCUGAAGAAUAAGCAUCGGCUAACUCCGUGCCAGCAGCCGCGGUAAUACGGAGGAUGCGAGCGUUAUCCGGAUUUAUUGGGUUUAAAGGGUGCGUAGGCGGAAUGCCAAGUCAGCGGUAAAAUCGGGGGGCUCAACCUCGCUCCGCCGUUGAAACUGGCGUUCUUGAGUGGGCGAGAAGUAUGCGGAAUGCGUGGUGUAGCGGUGAAAUGCAUAGAUAUCACGCAGAACUCCGAUUGCGAAGGCAGCAUACCGGCGCCCAACUGACGCUGAAGCACGAAAGCGUGGGUAUCGAACAGGAUUAGAUACCCCGGUA
rnacentral:rRNA from 1 species